GACAAAUCUCUCCAGCUCUCUCGCUGUGAGCUGCGCCUGGUUUCUAGCUUUUGCCUUCUCUCGCGGUUCGCAACAGGAAUAUGCUCUUAAGAGACCCGCGAAACAUGAUGAGGUUUGGAAGAAGACCCACACAAAAAGCAAAGUCGGGGAAGAAGCUUGGGUUGAGCCGCGGGCAGAGGAGGCUUAUAAUCAGUAUAAAGAAGCUGUGGAAGAGCUCGUUAGGAGUCAGCCGACCGAUGAGUAAGGCCAGCUAAUCAUGCCAUCGGAGGAAGAAACUCUCCCAUUAUGGCUGAACGUGGUUGGAGGCGUGUAUAAGGGUAGAGCAUACGGCCUUUCCUCCGAAAGUAAUUUUCAUCGC